AACGAACGCUGGCGGCAUGCCUAACACAUGCAAGUCGAACGAGACCUUCGGGUAUAGUGGCGCACGGGUGCGUAACGCGUGGGAACCUGCCCUUAGGUUCGGAAUAACUCCCCGAAAGGGGUGCUAAUACCGGAUAAUGUCUUCUUACCAAAGAUUUAUCGCCUUUGGAUGGGCCCGCGUUGGAUUAGCUAGUUGGUAGGGUAAAAGCCUACCAAGGCGAAGAUCCAUAGCUGGUCUGAGAGGAUGAUCAGCCACACUGGGACUGAGACACGGCCCAGACUCCUACGGGAGGCAGCAGGGAGGAAUAUUGGACAAUGGGCGAAAGCCUGAUCCAGAAAGGCCGCGUGAGUGAUGAAGGACUUAGGGUUGUAAAGCUCUUUUACCCGGGAUGAUAAUGACAGUACCGGGAGAAUAAGCUCCGGCUAACUCCGUG
rnacentral:rRNA from 1 species